UGGGGAAUUUUGCACAAUGGGGGAAACCCUGAUGCAGCGACGCCGCGUGAUUUAGAAGGCCUUCGGGUUGUAAAAAUCUUUUCUAUGGGAAGAACAUGACAGUACCAUAGGAAUAAGGACCGGCUAAUUACGUGCCAGCAGCCGCGGUAAUACGUAAGGUCCGAGCGUUGUCCGGAAUCAUUGGGCGUAAAGGGUACGUAGGCGGGUAAGCAAGUUAGAAGUGAAAUCCUAUAGCUCAACUAUAGUAAGCUUUUAAAACUGCUCAUCUAGAGGUAUGGAAGGGAAAGUGGAAUUCCUAGUGUAGCGGUGAAAUGCGCAGAUAUUAGGAGGAAUACCGGUGGCGAAGGCGACUUUCUGGCCAUAACCUGACGCUGAGGUACGAAAGCGUGGGUAGCAAACAGG
rnacentral:rRNA from 1 species